GACCCAUUUGCUCAGUUGGUUAGAGCGUCGUGCUAAUAACGCGAAGGUCGCGGGUUCAAAAUCCCCUCAUUGUCG
rfam:Drosophila melanogaster chromosome X.